GUCAGGUAGAGCUUCGCCUUUCUGGUGGACCCUCACAAGCCGCUUGAAGACUUGCAACGGGCAGCUUUGCAGGUCUUUCUUCACAGAAACAAAGUUAAAUGUGUGAAUAGUUUUAAGUUCUAAAAAAAGUUGGAAGCUAUUGUUGGCCCUGUUGUGGACCCUUUUUUGAAGAUUUUGUUCUACCUUUGUGAAGAUUUUUUUACUUGAUGUGAUUGUAGCCUCGGACAGUACUCAAUUUUCUCUGAAGAUUUUUUUGUUCCUUCUGUGACCUGUUGUGACCAUGUCCUAUCCUAAAGCUUCCUCUCGACAGUUAUGGUAAGUUGAAAUCAGAAACAAAUGUUUU